ensembl:lncRNA
GAAAAGGCAGGCUGGUUCUUGCAAGGUCACUUUCCUGCAGGGCCUGGCCGGGGUCCAUCAGGUGGUUUAUCCACCUGGCAGUCGCUGACCAGGUGAUGCCUGAGUGAUGGUGGCCGGCUCCGCUCCUGGGGGAGCUGAAACUGUGAUUAGGUCUCGGUUUGGGACGGGGGCCUGGCAUAAGCGACUCCACUGGGCCUGCUGUCUUGUUUUUAACUCACUCUAAACGGCCUGCUGCCGCUGUCAGAGCCUGGGGAGAUUUAAAAAAUCCUCCUCUAGUCACAGAUUUGCAGACUCACCCUCUGCUUCAAGUCUGUGAUUACAAUACGACCCUGGUGGAGCAGACUCCCGAGGACCAGCCAUCUGCGGAGUUAGGCAGCCCCCUCUCCGUGGGACCAGGACGACACGGCCUGUGGCCCCAAGACGCUGCGAUUAAUAAGAUAAAUGUGUUUGGGUUUUGUCCCGGUUCCCGGCACCGAGCUCCUGAGACCUCAGAAAUCCCUGGGUGAUGGGGUUUGUCGUUCGUAAGAGGCCCCUUCCAACCACACCUGAGUUCAUGCUGGUGCGGUGACUCUGGGAGGGUGGGGCUCCUGGGCUCCGAGCACAUCUGGUGCAGGAGGGCGCCGCACCCCAGCUCGGCCGGCACAGAGGCUUCUGUGCUAGGGACCCUCUGGGCCUCGGUCUACGUGCCUCUUCAUCUGGCUGUUCACGCGCAUCCUUUAUAACAAGCCAGGAAACACGAGCAAGUGUUUCUCUGAGUUCUUUUUAUUUAAAGUCCCGACGUCCAGGAGCCCACCAUCUUCUGCAGUGAUGUCCCCCCGGAGGCUCGUGGGCCACCGUCUGUGGAAAUGACGGCCGUGUGUGCAGAGUGAACCCCUGCUCCAGCAGCUCUCCUCCGACUGGAGGGUCUCGGUGUCACGUGAACACACACCGACCGCUGUCACAUCCUCGGACACGGCCGUUCUCGGCUCUUCUCUGUGGAGCUGCCCGGGGAACGGCGUUCGGGGUGGUGUUACCCGUGGCCGUCUGGUGGAUCCGGGGCAAGGCCCUGCAGCUGAGCCGGGGCCUGCCGUCUGGGUCACAGGCUCACCAGCACCCAAUGGACAUGCAGGGAUUCAGCAGACAGCACCCAAUGGACGUGCGGGCGACUCCCAACGGACAUGCGGGGCUCAGCGGGCAGCACCUAACAGAUGUGCGGGGCUCAGCAGGUGGUUCUCUGAAGCUGCAGCCUGGAGGAGAUUCUGACCAUUUUUUCCAACACUUAAAAUCAUACCACUUGUGCCUCCUCCAGCAGAGUUUCUGGUCUAUGUAAAAAUAGCAACAACCCCCACUGCUUCUUAUUUUAAAAAGGGAACGCCCAGUGAACAUAUUUUUAUCUCCUCUGUCUGUCCUCGUGGUCUUUGCCAAAUGUUGCCUUGAGUGCUUUGUGGAACAAAGUAUAAAGAAAGAAAGAGGGGCCGGCUCCGUGGCCGAGUGGUUAAGUUUGCGCACUCCGCUGCGGCGGCCCAGGGUUCGGAUCCUGGGCCCGGACAUGGCACCGCUCAUCCGGCCGCGUUGAGGCGGCGUCCCACAUCCCACAACAAGAUGGACCGGCAACUAAGAUAUACAACUAUGUACAGGAGGAGUUUGGGGAGAUAAAGCAGAAAAAAAAAAAAAAAAAGAUUGGCAACAGUUGUUAGCCCAGGUACCAAUCCUUAAAAAAAAAGAGGAAGAUUGGCAACAG